rnacentral:lncRNA from 1 species
CUGUAUGUUUCGGAUCACUUUCUUGUCCAAACGGAGGAACAUGUUUAUCACCAGACAAAUGCCAAUGUCUAUCAGGAUUUAGUGGAACAAAAUGUGAAGAUAUGGACGAAUGUAAAGUAUACACUGCCGGAUGUCAGCACAACUGUCAAAACACGCCUGGUUCAUUUGUAUGCUCAUGUAAUAGUGGUUACACAUUGUCUUCAAAUUUGAGGUCAUGUAACGAAACAGAUGAAUGUGAAGAUGGUACACACAAUUGUACACAAAAAUGUCAAAACACGCAAGGAUCGUAUAAGUGCAGUUGUUAUCACGGCUACCUGCUUGAAAGUAACAUGAAAACCUGUACAGGUAU